UAAGACAAUAAAUCUGCACUGUAAAGAGUGGGAUACUACUAUAAGGAUACCCAACAAUGUAGAAGUGACUUUGGAACUGGGUACAGGCAGAGUUUGGAACAGUUUGG